rnacentral:lncRNA from 1 species
UUUUCAUGCAAUAAAUGCUCAAACAUAAUUCACUUCCCGAUUCCACAUUCCAUUUCAUUACCACAUUAAUCUAAGAUGCAAAACAAAUAUCACUUUUAUAACUCUUGGUAAUCUCAUUAACCUAUCAAACAAAUUAAACAACCACAAACAUGUACAUAGGCAUUAACAUUUUUAAAUAUACAUCUCAAUGAAUUAUACAAACCCUUUAAAAUUUUAUAAUCACACCUCAAACCAAAUCAAUAUACAACCGAACACUUAACAUUCUUUUACUCUCCAACAUUUACAAAUAUACUUCUAUUUAUAGAUCAUAUCAUAUAUUCAUUUUGAUGCCAACCAAAUAAACCACACAUAAUAUUCGCAUGUAAAAUCCUAUCCAUAAAAUACUAACUAUUAUCAAGUCAUGUAUAAUUCAUAAUUCAAUCCAAAACCAAACAUAACAAGAUGUUAAGCCAUUUUCGCAAGGCUUUAAUAUACAUCUUCGAAUUAAACAACCUUCAAAGCUAGUUUAUACAUGUCAUAGUUUCAAAAGAAGUUUUAGUUUAAAAUACCAUAGUUAUUUGAUAGUGUGAUGAGCUUUUCUGACAAAUUCCUGAGCUCGUAACAAUCUCAAAAUCUAUAAAACAAAAGCAACCAAAACAAAUACACCGUAAGCUAUUUAAAGGUUAGUAAGUCAUAAGCUUAAGCAUAUUUAUUAUUCAUAACAUAUAACAUUUAACUAAUAUAACCUAUAUUAUAUACCAUACCAUAUAUAAAGACAUCAUCCAUUAUAAUUUCAUACCUUGAUUUCAAACUCAAGCUAUAUAAUCGAAAAUAAACUUAUAUAUAUAAUUAUAACCUUUCCAUUGAACAACAUUUAAUUCAACAAGGGCCGAAUCAACAGCUUAUAUACAUAUAUAUGGGUUUAGUUAAUUCAAAUGCCAUUUUCACAUACUUUCCAUAAUUAUAAAUAACAACUUAACCUAUUUGUAAACAUACAUUUAACAAACACAUACCUGAAUAUGCAAUUCAAUUUCAUAUCUGAUCUUCAUUUAUCAUUGCCCAUUGAACCGUUCGAAAUUAAAUAGGAUACUCGAAUAAUCAAGAGAUUUAUACAACGCCAACGUCCCAGACGUGGUCUUACAUGUAAUCACUGAUCGAUGCCGCUGUCCCGGACAGGGUCUUACACGAAAACAUUUAUCAGAAAAAUCUCAUGCAUUUCUAGGGUUCGUACAGGCUUGCAGAUGUUAAAUACUAUUUGAAUCGAACUCAAUUACUUACCUAUUUUAACAAAUACAUUCGGCCAAGACUAACAUUAUCUUUAAUAAUUCCAUUUAUCACAUAUAUAUACUAUAUACCAAUUGAAUUUAACAGAAUUUAAAUGCUUAUCGACUUACCUCAGAUAUCGACGGACACGAUCGACUACUCGACUACUUUCGUUUUCCCCCGAUCCAAUUAUGUUUUCUUCGUUUCUUGAUCUAAACAUAUUCAAAUUUAACAUUUUUAUUCAUUAAUUCAUUCAAUUUAAUCCAAAAACACAUAAAUGAGCAAAUUAACAUUUUACCCCUAACAUUUUACACUUUUUACAAUUUAGUCUCUAUUACAUAAAACACAAAAUUCACACAUACCAUGCUUAGGCCGAAUUUUACCCUAGUCCAUACAAGUCCAUAUUUUUCAUUUAUUUAUCAUUUUAGUCCCUCAAAAAUUUAUUUUCACAAUUUAACCCUAAUUACUCAAUUUCACCAAAAAUUCAAAGACAAAAUAUAUUAAUCUUUCACAUAUCUUUAAUAUUUCACCAUCAAACAACAAAAAUCACAAGCUAUCAUCAAUGUCAAAACACAAAAUCAUCAUAAAUUUCAAAUUUUGAAACAUGGGCUUUGAAGAUAACUUAGCAACGAUCUCAAAAACGUAAAAAUUAUCAAAAACCGAACAAAUUACAUACCUUAAUUGAGCAAGAAAAAGGUCGAAUGUAGCUUUUCUUUUCUUUUAUUUUCCUUGGCUAAUUUCAGCUACUAAAGAUGAACAUGCAAGUGAUGUUUUUAUUUUAUGUUUUAUUAUAUUAUCAUAAUUAAUAUAAUUACCAAAAUAACCUUUAUAAUUCAAUAUACAAGUUUAUAUACAAUAUACAUAACCGUCCAUCAAUAUAACUCAUGGUAUAAUUACAACAUAAACACCUACCACUAAAAGAACAAAUCAAUUUAGUACUUUAACAAUUAGUUAGCAACUUUUACUAUUUACGCGAUUAAAUCCUUUUUCUUUAAUCGGUCACUUAAACGAUAAAAUUAAGACACGAAAAUUUCACACAAUCAAAUUUACACAUAAUAAACACACACAAAAAUAUUAAAAUAUUUUUUUGACUCAAAUUUGUGGUCCCGAAACCACUAUGUCCGAUUAGGGUCGAAAUCAGGCUGUUACAAAAUUUCUCUCCAAAACUUCCCCAAUUCUUCUAUGCGAUGUUGUCCAACAAGUAGAGUGUAUUUUUUUUUGGUAAAUUACAAUAACAGGAAAAUAGCCUGAACAACCAACGCGAUUAGCGCAACUCGAACCCAGGCUACACCUAGGGCGAUGAACACUCUUCUAGGUGAUGAUUGUGGGACAUCAAAUUCCCUGGUGGUUUAGGUGCUAUUAAAAGUUGCUGCUUUGUCAAGGGUAAGUAUUCGAUACUAAUUUGGGGGUUAUUCUUGUUAAGUGCGUAAAUGUCGAAUUGAAGUUUCGAUUUUAGUUGUUUCGUGCUAAGUGAGUUGGUUGUAGUUGUCGUUUUUAGGUACUAAAUUUGUUAUUGUUGUGUUGACUUCGAAAAUCAGUAAGGUGUGUACCUUUUGUCCUGAAAAAUAGAGAACAGUGCAAAAUGGACAAACUCACUGUCGACGCCACAAGACUGUCUACCAAAUCGUGUGAGUCACACGCCUGUGUGUUAGGCCGUGUGGGCCACACAAGCUAGGUCAGGUAGGCCUUGUGAGUCCCACAGGCAUGUGGGCCCAUUUUCAGUAAAAUUUAGUAGAGCCGUGUUUGAUGCAUGCUUUGAGGUUAACUACUUCGUAGGGUCUGUUUUGUGAUAUGUGUGACAUAUAUAUAAAUAAAAUUUGAUAUUCUAUUUUUAUUUGUACGACUUCUGAAAGCAUGUUAAUAGCAUGUUCUAAUAUGUAUAACAUGUAUGAUUUGUGUGCAUCUGGAUAUAUGGUUAGUGAUUGUAUGUGCAUUGGAGUGAGAUAAUUAUGUAAUGGAGGAAGUGUUGACAAUUUAAUGGUUUGUCUUAUCUAGUGAUGUAACACCCAUUACCUGUAUUCGAUACUGAAAUAGAGUACGAGGUAUUACCAGAACACAUACACUUUUAAUCAUAUUAAACCAAGUUGUAAAAUUUCAUCUAAACUAAAACUUUCAAAUUGUUAUUCUUGAUUCGCUAAUUAGGGUUUACGUGGCCCAAUAUACUCACAAUCUUUCACUUUCUUGUCGUAUGAAUUUAUAAAUUUCCACUUACUUGUUGAAUUCAUCACGAGUACCUGAAUUGAUCCGUAUCAUUACAUAUUCUCAUGUCGUCACAUUUUCAUAUUUAACUAUUGUAAUAUAUCAAUUACUCAAUAUCUCAUAAGCUAAGUGUCACAUAUACAGUAUCCAUUCUUCUCCCAUACAACUAUCAAUAUUAGCCACAAAGAUAGUACAAAUUUUUUCUAUUCGAUGUUAAACCAAAACAUGUUACUUCAUUACCAACUAACCUUACUAACUAUACACCUUAUACUAGCCCAAGUGUUUAACCAUUCACCCAUGACAUAAAUAUAUUUUAUCUAUUAUUGCAGAAUAUAGAUGUGCUACCCAAAUCAUAAUUCACCUCACAUAGUAACUGAGUUAAUUUUUAUCAUUUGUCAAAUAAAUUACAAAACAAGUUAUAUAACAAAAUAUAGAUACAUUUUAAACAUCACCAAUAAACAAAUUCUCAUGGCAUUAAAUAAUCAUCACGCAUCAAAGACAAAUGUACUUGACAUUUCCAUCACAUAAACCGAAUUAAUCAGUGCAACCUCAAUGAUAUAAUCAUCCUUUUAACUUACUUAACCAAGCCAAAUUGUACCAUCAUCUCACACAUAGAAUGACCCACCUAUCAUACUUCUCAAUUAUGUCACUUAAUAGACCAAAUAUACCUAACCUUUAUCAUCAUGAUCAAUCCACAACCAAAAUACAUCCAUAUAUCAAAAUUACCACACACACACAUAUAUAUAUACACCAUGACUAAAUUUCUUAAACAUUUGAUCAAUUGCUUUUCAAUACCGCAAUAAUUCUUUCAAUACCAAUACGUAUUUACCAUUCAAUUUACCAUUGACCGAUUAUAAUCGGGCAUAUAAUCAUUUAUACACAAUUCAUUCAUAUAUUUUAUUGUCCUCCUCGUCCUCUCAAUUCCACAUCCUUAAUGUAUAUAACACGCUUAAUAACAUUAUACAUAAUUUCAUUACUCACUUACAUGUAAAUUUAAAGCUGCCCAUCUGAGUCAGAGUCACUAAAUUAUUUUAUUCUGGAGUUACGGAGCUCCAAAUUAAAAUCCGUUAAUUUUCCAUGAAACUAGAUUCAUAUAUAUUUUUACCAUAAAAAUUUCAGAAUUUUUACCUAUCCAAUAAGUACUGUUUAUUCUUUAAAGUUUCCCCUGUUGCACUGCUCGACAGUUCUGACCUCUCUUCACUAAAAAUUGAUUAUCUAAUUGUGCAGAAUUUGAAUGGUAUUCCCGUUUAUUUCUCAUGAAAAUAGACUUGUUAAAUAUUCUAAAAAUAUAAAUUUUAACCCAUAAUUAAUUUUUUACAAUUUUUAAUGAUUUUCCAAAGUCAGAACAGGGAAUUCUGAAAUUAUUCUGACUCUGUCUCACAAAAUUUAUUAUAUCUCAUGAUUUACAAUUUCAUUACUUACAUCGUUUCUUCUAUGAGAAACUAGACUCAAUAAGCUUUAAUUUCAUAUUUUACUCAUCUUCUAAUUCGAUUCCCACGAUUUUUGGUGAUUUUUCAAAGUUGGCACACUACUGCUGCCCAAAAUUGUUUUAGUGCAAUAUAUUGAUUACCAUUUUGACCCUAAACUUUUAACACAUGACAAUUUCAUCCGUAGGCUCGAAAAAUGAAAUUCUUGCAAUUUAAUCUUUGAUCCAAGCCUAAUAAUUCUCAUACCUAUCAAUAAAAGCCCAUGGAUUCCAUGAAAUUUCAGAAUUUUUCCACAAUUUCAAUACGUUUCAACUUAAUCCCUAAAACAUGUUUUCAUCCAAAAUUCUUUAAUAAAACACCUUUAAACAUCCAUUAACAUAUCAAUUUCAUCAUCAAAUAAUAAAAAUCAUAUGAACUUAUCAAUGGUAUCUUCCUAAACUUUCAAAAAAAUGAGAAACUAGUAGAAUACUAAGUUGGACCUAAUUGUAAAAGUCUAAAAAUAUAAAAAUUUCAAUGAAAAAGUAAGAAUUACACUUACUUGAAGCUAAAAUAUGGAAGACAAGCUCUAAACCCUCUUCCAUGGCUGUUUUCCACCGAAAUUUUAAGAAGAAAUGGUCUUGAAAUCCUUAAAAUAAAUUUUGGCCAC